AUUGAACGCUGGCGGCAGGCCUAACACAUGCAAGUCGAACGAGUGGCGGACGGGUGAGUAAUGUCUGGGAAACUGCCUGAUGGAGGGGGAUAACUACUGGAAAAGGUAGCUAAUACCGCAUACCAUCGGAUGUGCCCAGAUGGGAGUAGCUAGUCGGGGGGGUAACGGCUCACCUAGGCGACGAUCCCUAGCUGGUAUGAGAGGAUGACAAGCAAAACUGUAACUGAGACACGGUCCAUACUCCUACGGGAGGCAGCAGUGGGGAAUAUUGCACAAUGGGCGCAAGCCUGAUGCAGCCAUGCCGCGUGUAUGAAGAAGGCCUUCGGGUUGUAAAGUACUUUCAGCGGGGAGGCGUUACCCGCAGAAGAAGCACCGGCUAACUCCGUGCCAGCCGCCGCGGUAAUUC
rnacentral:rRNA from 1 species